UACGGGAGGGUGCAAGCGUUAUCCGGAUUCACUGGGUUUAAAGGGUGCGUAGGUGGGCAGGUAAGUCAGUGGUGAAAUCUCCGGGCUUAACCCGGAAACUGCCAUUGAUACUAUCUGUCUGAAUGACCGUGGAGGUGAGCGGAAUAUGUCAUGUAGCGGUGAAAUGCUUAGAUAUGACAUAGAACACCAAUUGCGAAGGCAGCUCACUACACGAAUAUUGACACUGAGGCACGAAAGCGUGGGGAUCAAACAGG
rnacentral:rRNA from 1 species